rnacentral:lncRNA from 1 species
CCAAAAUUAUAAUUGCUGCUGAUUUUGGAACUUCAGGUGGAUAUACCCACGUAAAAUCAAUUUGUGUCUCAAGGAAUCUAGUUAUGACGAAUGAAUUGAGUAUGUAAAAGUUAAAAGUAAAAGGGAAAGUUGCAAACUAUAACUCUGUGAGCACUGUUGACAUCAAAUUGAAUGAAUAGGAUAUCAGGUUCACUUGAGUGACCCAGCAGUAUUGGCGGCGGAGGUUUUGCACUCUACAGAGUGCUCCCCCUCUCGUUCAAAAAUGUAUUGGGCCAGAUAUGUUCUCGUAUAUGUGGCGGAGGUAUGCGCUCUACCGAGUGUCCUUCUGAAGACCGAAUUGCACAAUUUUCAACUCCUCCAGUCUUCUCUCGGAUCUGGAAACCAUGAGCACUCAACAUUCAGAUCCCAAAAGUCAGUUAUUCCGAAGAUCCAGCAUGAGAACAUUAUUGGUCCUGCUCUUGUUGGCGAGAGAAAGCAGCAAUGUUUGGGCAAAAGAUCUGGAGGAAUAUUCUGAAAAAAUAGGGGAAGUUGGGAGUACCAACAACACUCCCUUGCCAUGCUCCACCAGAAAAACGACAAGAUGUGGACUUUGAGUGGACGUUUGUGAACGACACAAAUGUGGUGAGAUUAAACAGGAAUUUACGAAACUACCCAACUGGGAUAAAAUGAAUAAAAUACUACAUUCAUUGAUGUUUCAUCAGUCAAACAUUGUAAACUGUUGAUGAUGUACUGUGUAAGCAGAUCUUGAUAUGAAAACAAUUGAAGAUGAAAGUGUUUUUUGUCAUCUAUUUAUUCUACAUGAUGCAAGGGAAGAUGAGUGUUGGUUAGUAUAGAGGAGAUGAUAUGAGAAGGGGGUGGGGAUGCGAGGAAGUGGGAGAGAAGAAAAGAGUUUGGAAUGGAACAGGCAUAAGAGAAGAAAAGAGCAAGUGGACAUGUAUUAAGCAUAUGUAUAUGUGGAAAGGAUGAGGGGGGGGGAGGGGGGUGGGCAGUGAGAGGGAGGUAAAAAAAUCUGAGCUAUAUCUGUGUUUGUCAUAAAACUAUACCCCUUGUAUGCAGUAAGUAUGUAAUUAUUCCUGUUUCAUACACAAGGCACUUUUCAGAUACAAUUCUCAGGGAAAUACCAGUUUAGAUUUAUAACCCACACCCCAAAAAUAAACUCCAGCUCAGGAAUGGAAAUUUAGCUAACCCAAAAGCAUUGUUUUCCUGAUCUCUGGGGAGAGCUAUUUUUGAGUGUUUAACUUCGUAUAAGGGAUGACUUCUAACGUGUAUGAAAUACAAUAUGAUGAACAACGUUGCAUAUUUGAAUGUACCUAACAACUCCUUCUGAGUGAUACGUGACAUCUAUUAGAUUAGCACAUAAAGAGUUUCUUCGUAACUCAAGUCAUUGGUGAGUC